UGAGAAGAGGCAAAGGAAGAGCAUGGCAGAAGUGUGUGUGGGAAAGAUGAACCCAGAGCUCCUCCAGAUCAGGAAAGAUGGUGAGUGUAUAACCCCAGAAUUCCAGUGGAUGUCAGCAAGAUGUGCUUGACUAGGUUUAUCCUUGAGGAAUCAGAUAUUGCCAGAUUUUACAGCUGAGAAGCUGGUACACAUGUAGAUGUAGCCUUCAGAGAGCAGAGCAUUCUCAAGAGAAGCGAUUUUCUGGCUUAAACUAAAGACAAGCUUAAGAGACAUUCACCAAUUGAAGCCAUGGAAGUUCUUCCAGACUGAAGCCAGAGAGGUCCUCUUUCCACAACAGGAAAAGAAGUUGUGCUACUUUAGUGCUGAUAUGAAUUUUAACACUAGAACUGUUGAGUUUCACUAAAAAGAAAGAAAUAAAUGGAGUUUACAGUGAGUUUACAUUAUAGGCAGAAAGACCUUUUUAUGUGUCUCCACUAGUAACAUGUAAGGCUAUUUACCCUUGGAUUGAGAAGAUAUGCCUGCUUUUUUUGUGACUGUUUGGGAUCGCACUUAAGUUAAAGAUAUGUUUCAAAUUGUUAACACCCAGCAUCCCCUAUGCAAUGUUGGUUUAUAUAUGUCAAAUAACACUUUAUUGCUAGUGUUAUUCAGUUUCAGUGGAAGGAUUGCCUCAGUCUUCAAGGUAGCCAAGAUUUCUGCUGCAAAGUUUGCAGGAAAGGCCUUUACCCAUGGAGAAGACAAUGGCUUUUUGUCUAGAGCACUUUUAGGGUUCAUGGAUGUGACCCAACCUGGUAUGCUCAUUCUGCAGCAGAAACUUGAAUCAAAAUUUGCUUUGUUCAGUAAGUGGGGUGUCUGAGUCAUCUGUCUACAGGUAAUCUUUCAGUCCUUCUUGACAUUUUUCUACUUUAUAUUAAAAAUGUACAGUUAAUUUUCAAUAUUGUUUUACCUCUGUGGAAUUAGAAAGGAAAUCAUCUACUGUUCUUUUUUCCUCCGCAAGAUCUAAUUUUGAUUUGCUUUAUUUAAAAUCUACUUGUAAGAAAUCUCACAAAAGAAUGUUUAAAACUGAAAAAAAAAAACUGACUGCUGAUUAGUAUAUUAAUAUUCAUUCCCACUUUUUUCUUCUUGCUGGGACCAUUUUGUCACUGCAGAGGACAGGAUAUAACAUUUACCUGGGAUGCCAUUCUCUCCCUUGCUCCCUCCCCUUUGUAAGAGCAUUGAGCUGAACCCUAACCAUGGUUUGGGACUAGACUAUGGCUGUGCCUCAUGGUGAUAUGCAGAGAAAUGUGUGAAACAGGGUGUGUUGUGCCCCCAGGCAUGGCUCAGGAACACAAAUUGCACUAUCCCAGAGCAGCCCCACAGCAUAUCUUUCUUCCCCAGCAGCUGGUCCCUCUCCUCCAGGAGCCUGUCUCAGCAAGGAGUCUUGGGCAGUGUUUCUGCGAGCUCUGCUUGCGUUGUGCAGGGACAGUCAUGAUUGUCUGUUUGCUUUCUCAGUCAGCAUUUCAAAAUAUUUUGUUGCUUUAAAGACGGGCAAAGGAAUGGGAUAAAAAUCUUCACCAGAUGGCAGCCUCACAGAAAAGAAGGUGCUGCCUUUUCUCACUUUGUGAUUUGUUGAAGCUUCCUACUCUUGCUGUUUUAAUUUCACUUUGUUCAUGUUCCUAGUGAACCUGUUUUCCCCAUAUGUGAAUAUUCUUUUUGUCUAAUCUGAGGUAACACUGCUGGCAAAUGUCCUUGGAUGUAAAGUGCUCCUUUCUUUUUUGUCUUGUGAUCAAUAGUACUUGUUUUUUUCUAUCAAACAUAUCUUUAUAUGUGGCCCAACAACAGACCAACAUAAAAGCAUCAUGUUAUUUGACUACUUUUUCUUGUGUGUAAAUGGAUGCUCAAGGAUAUUUAUUUGCAUCUAAGGCAAAUGGUGAGUUUAGGUCAUGUCUCUUGGGUUUCCAAGACCUCAAGAUAAUGUAUCCCCAUAUUCCUGAAAUUAGUUUUUCACAUGUUUUUCUACAUAACUUGGCUAUUGCCACAUGAUGGGUAUGCAUUGCAGCGUGCAGUCUACCUAUUUAUACACAUAAAGGGAAAAAGAAUUGAAGUUUAUCCCAUUGUACAUCAAAUGAGGGAAAACACAGGGAAAGUAAACACUGGUUUGCCACAGAUUUAUCUUUUGUAGGACUGAACUUCUAGACUGAACUUUACCUCUUGCCUUGUAAAGAGGGACUAGUACAGUGAAAAAUACCCAAGGAGAGAUAGGCUGGCUAUGCUUGUUUUACUAAACAAGUGUGCAAGGGCCUUGAUAGUGGCUUUGAUGGAAAAUGACACGGCACCUUUGCAUCCAGCU